ACAAGCCAGUGUAAUUUCAUAGACAGAGCCCAGAGGUAAGAAAGCCCAUGAACGGGUAUCAAAUUAUCUAAAACCCUAGAUAAACCUCACACUCUAUCCCAUCCUCUUUAUAUAAAUCACCCUCCCCUACCCAUCAAUUUAAUUUCAUGUUUAAAGCAUCACGUCUCCACUGUUUCUCUUCUUAUAAUUCAUUCUAGUUUAUGCUGUAUCUGAUAAGUACAACAUAGUUUUAGUACAAUUUCUUAUGAUUAUGUUUAUGUUUUAAAUUAAUUAACGUAUGCAUUGACGAGGCUUAUGUGGACUAGAGUUUCUGAAUCUGGUGGGUUUAAUUUUAAUCCCCCAGUUUCUGAAGACAACCCCUUGGCUGUCUGAGCAUAACUUGUCUGAAUUUGUGUGUGUAAUUUUUUUUGUUUAAAAUUAGUGGCUUAUGAUGAUAAAUUAUAAAUAUCUUAGCGGAUUUCAGUGAGAUUAUUACAUCUAUGAUCUGAUUGUUACACACACUGAAGCCCCUCUUGCGAAUUUUUAUAUUAACAUGUAUUUGAAUUUUGAUCAGAAUAGCUGCUGUGAUGAGGCUAAGCACCUAUUUGGUGUGUUAGGGUAGUGGACAAGGCUUGAUGGUCUUGCCGUGAUCCCGCUAUUAAACGACUUCUCCUUCCACUGAGCGGAUUAUUCGAAUUUAAGUUGUGUUUGUUGUUGGUGUUUUGGGCGUCCUUUACCAAUUCUAGGGAAUGAAUUUUGUUUCCUUAGGUAUAAUGGCUUGGACGCGAGAGUUAAGAGUGGUCAUCCUGAUGAAUGUACGAUAUCGAUGUCAUUUUAUCCUGGAAAUGCCACCUAUAUCAUCUUAAUUACAUGUGGAUUUUAGUUGUUUUAUAACUAUUAACAAAUUGUGAUCAAUUUUCUAUGAUUGUUAAAGAAUUUAAAAUUAAAUGUCCUGCACUGUGACAUUGGUAACAUACCAGGAUUUUUGGGAAAAAAUUGUGUAAUUUGAAGUAGUCUGUGCUUUUGGGGAAAUGUGUUUACCUCUCACGUUAAUUUUUCGGGCUGGUUUGAUUUGUUUUUACUACAGAUUUGGGUAGAAUUAACAGUGCAAGACAUGCAUUCGAUAAAAGAUCUGAAAUAGAUGUGCUAGGAUGACCAGUUGAUCACCAUUCUAGUGCCUAUUGCAGAUUGGGACUUGGGCUAUGCAAGGAGGUUCUUUGGUGAGAUAUUAGAGAGGAUUAUAUUACUUGGAAUGCCUAAUUGAUGGACUAAUAUACUUUUUUCGAACUUGAGCUGCUCAUUGAUUCUAUAAAGAAAUUAGCACGACUUCGCCUCACACAGACCACAACAACUUUUGUUGUUCAGACUAUUGUUGUACCCACAAGUGUCUGAGCCUCAGCAAUCUUUGUCACUGAUCCUAUGUUAUCGCCAAACGCUCAGAUUAUAAUGAAUUGGAGCUGGUGAUGAUGAUCUGAAUGAGGGAUUGGAAGUGGCUGUAUGCUUUUUGCUGAAAGCUAUAGAAGAUCGACCUAAGAACUGUAUGUUAGUUGAGAAGCUGUGAUGGAACAAGUUACUUAUGGCAGCCUGUGUAAGAAAAAUCUCGAUGAGAAAAUUGAAGAAAUGAAUCUCACUUGUGAACCAAUUUUUUUAUGGUAAUUGAAAAUUGUGGCGAGUUCUUUUCCAUACGUGACAGCACGCGUGGCACUAAAGGUUUAUCUUCUCCUGUUGAUUUUGCUUCUCGGAUUUAUUGAUGCACUGAUGAGGCUUAUGUGGACCACGGUUUCUGAUCUGGGUUUAAUUCCCAGAUCUAAAACACAUGUCACAUAUCUGCUUUUUCUGUAGGAAAUUUGGGCUUGUGAUGAUAAUUUUCAAAUAUCUUAGCGGAUUUCAGUGAGAUAAUUACAUCCAUGAUCUGAUUGUUACACACACUGAAGCCCUUGUUCAUUAUAUAUGUAAGUCGUCAAUUAUAUGGUUGCAGUUGUAUAGGGUUUGUGACCUACAUUUUCUAGCAGAAUGGCCUCUCCCAUGUUUUGGUCAAAAGUGUAUAUCAGUCCCUGACUCCCUGUACAUCUGCUGAUGUUGAUAGAUUUCUCUACGUAUAUGGCAGUGGACGGAACUCAAUGGUCUUGCCACAAUCUCAGAUAUAAACUUCUCCUUCCACUGAGCAUUCCUUCAGUUUAAUUGGUAUUAAUAAUUUAUAGUUAUGCGUCCUUUACCAAUUCUGGGGAAUAAAAUUGGUUUCCCUAGGUAUAAUGGCUUGGACGCAAAAGCGAAGAGUGGUCAUCCUGAUAAAUGUCUAUUUCAAUGUCAUUUCAUCCUGGAAACACCACCUAUAUCAUCCACUUGUGUGCUCUAUAUGAUUUUCUGAUGAUAAUCUUAGUCUUGCUUUAUAUAUUUUUGCUUUUAAAUCUUUUAAAAGGAAAAUGGUAAUUGAAGGUUGUAAUUGUAGCAAGCAAUUUUGACUCCUGUGUCCUGCUUAUUUGUGGGGUAGUUCCAAGGAUUAUCUGCUUUAAAGAAAUGUUGAACUUGCAAAACUAUCUCUUUGUGGUGGCGAGAAUCUGAAUUGGAGUUCAUGUGCUGAUGUUCAGACUGCUUUGAAUAUUUUUUUCUAGAUUCCGUGGAAUUGGUGAUACAAUGCGAUUGAUAAUUUUACUCGAAAGAUGUAUUUGUCUACAAAAAAUGAUGAGCUGCAGGACAUGUGUUAUGCAGGAGGAUGAUUUGAUGAUGUGGUUAAGAGCAAUAUCCUUAUUUUCUUUGAUGAGGAGUAUCAUUAUGUUUGUAGUCUGUAGAUGCUUGCAAAUGCUGGAUGGAAAGAAGCGGAACAAUAGCUGUUGAGCAUGACUUGGCAUUGCACUGAGCUUCUGGCUCAAUGGCCAUUUUUGUUUCCCGACCCUACAUGUUCAAAAAAUUUGAAAGAUGGAUGAGAAGAUUUAAAACGGACAUUUGUUAGGACAUUAUUGAACUUCCCGUAAUAUGUAGUGUUGUUUUAGUGAUUCUCUCCUAUCAAACGAGAAAAUGUUGUUGCAGAACACAAGUGGUAUUUGCAUUCUGAACGAAAUGAAAUUCUGUUCUCUCUGA